UGUUUCUUGCUUUAUUAUAUGCUUUAUGGAUAUGAAGAACUAUGGGAUGUAGUACAUGUUUUAUUCCAAAUUAUAUUACUCUUUAAUCACAAUCAUUUUCAGUAGCACGAACUCUUUAUUUAGUUUAUUAUUUAAUUUCAUUAUUUUUAUUACUUAGUGGGACCACAUGUCAAAUACUUUAAUUUUAUUAAUUAGUUAAUUCUUUAAAUAAUAAUUAAAUAUAUUAAUACAUAAUACGGUAAAAAUAAUUUUAAUAUUUCUAAUAAUUUAUUAUUGUAUUGGCUUCCCGCCGCGAAGCGCGGGGUCCCUUAACUAGUACACUAUAAUUUGACAGUUUUGUCAAUACACAUGGCGUGCUUCCCUUUGCUCUUUCCACGUGGUGGGUUCUCCAUACAACGCAUUUCUCUCUCGGCCAUUCCCCUCCUCUAUCUCUCUCUUUUUCCUCCUAUAGGCUCUAGGCCCUCCUCAUUCUCUCUUCCCUUCUUUCCUUUUCUCUCUAUUUCCCCUUUAGCUCCCCCUUUUCUGUCCUCUCUCUUUUCCUUCCUGUAGUUUGCCCUUGUUGGCUUAAAUAGGUCAGCAUCCUGUUAUGUAGCACGAGGCCAGGUUAGGCCGAGUCACAUUUGAAAUGGCGUAAGGCUAGUUAGGCCCAGUCAUGUUCGAAGUGGCAUGAGACUGGUUGGAUUGAAUCACAAUCGAGACUCAUGGACGUUGUGUCUGUACACUUUAAGUGAAUUGACUGUUUAUUUCUAAUAGCUUGAGCUUUGGGAUUAAUGGCAUGAGGCUGGUUGAGUCGAGUGAAAUAGUGUAAGGUUGGAUUAGGCUAAGUCAUGUUCGAAGUGGCAUGAGGGUGGUUGGGCAGCAAUAACCGCAACGGAGGUUGGGAGGACGAGGGAGGGGUGCGAGGAAGCGACAGUCCACUGAAUCGUGAGGCCCAAUCGUCCCACCACUGUCGAAUCCAUGAUUUGUGACGCUCCCUUCACCGAGAUGGCGUGACGCACUCUCCUGAUAAAUAAUCACAUGCACCUCAUGUAUCCGUACAAUUCAUGCACCACCCCUCAUAUCUGGUAGUUAAUAUUUUGAAAAUAAAAUAUCACAUAUAUGUGAUUUUUAUUCAAAAGGUCUAUGGGUAAAUAUAUGCAUGCAUCGAAGUAGCUCUAUCUUUGUUUUUUUUACUUUUUUCAUUGUAGUAGCUCCUAAAAUCCUUCUAGACUACUUAUAAUUUUUAUAUUUUAAAGAAACUGAAUGUUGAAUC
rnacentral:lncRNA from 1 species